rnacentral:rRNA from 1 species
GAUGAACGCUAGCUACAGGCUUAACACAUGCAAGUCGAGGGGCAGCAUGGAAGAAGCUUGCUUCUUCUGAUGGCGACCGGCGCACGGGUGCGUAACGCGUAUCAAACCUGCCUCAUACUCGGGGAUAGCCUUGCGAAAGUAAGAUUAAUACCCGAUGUUGUUAUGUUACCGCAUGGUGAUAUAACCAAAGAUUUAUCGGUAUGAGAUGGUGAUGCGUCCGAUUAGGUAGUAGGCGGGGUAACGGCCCACCUAGCCAUCGAUCGGUAGGGGUUCUGAGAGGAAGGUCCCCCACACUGGAACUGAGACACGGUCCAGACUCCUACGGGAGGCAGCAGUGAGGAAUAUUGGUCAAUGGACGCAAGUCUGAACCAGCCAAGUAGCGUGCAGGAUGACGGCCCUCUGGGUUGUAAACUGCUUUUAGUUGGGAAUAAAAAAGAGGACGUGUCCUCUAUUGUAUGUACCUUCAGAAAAAGGACCGGCUAAUUCCGUGCCAGCAGCCGCGGUAAUACGGAAGGUCCAGGCGUUAUCCGGAUUUAUUGGGUUUAAAGGGAGCGUAGGCGGAUUAUUAAGUCAGUGGUGAAAGACGGUGGCUCAACCAUCGUUAGCCAUUGAAACUGGUAGUCUUGAGUGCAGACAGGGAUGCUGGAACUCGUGGUGUAGCGGUGAAAUGCUUAGAUAUCACGAUGAACUCCGAUCGCGAAGGCAGGUGUCCGGGCUGCAACUGACGCUGAGGCUCGAAAGUGUGGGUAUCAAACAGGAUUAGAUACCCUGGUAGUCCACACAGUAAACGAUGUAUACUCGCGGUUUGCGAUACAACGUAAGCCGCCAAGCUAAAGCAUUAAAUAUACCACCUGGGGAGUACUCCGGCAAUGUUGAAAUUCAAAGGAAUUGACCGGGGCCCGCACAACCGGAGGAACAUGUGGUUUUAAUUCGAUGAUACGCGAGGAACCUUACCCGGUGUUGAAUCUAUGUAGUGACUAAUCUAUUGAUAGAUUUUUUCUUUGGACACUCUCGGAAGUGCUGCGUGGUUGUCGUCUGCUCCUGCCGUGAGGUGUCGGCUUAAGUGUCCUAACGAGCUGCCCACCCUUUUCUCCUUGUUUGCUCUCACGGUAUGCCGGCCACCCCCAGGGAUACUGUCAUCUUAAAAUUUGAAGAUGGUGGAGAUCACUUAUAUCACCACUUCCUCUUCCUCUCGUUCUAUCCUCUGUUCCCAUGGCGUGUAACAAAAGCCUUCCCAUGUUGCACAGUUGCUUUUUUUUAAAAACCCUUUCAAUUCGGAU